GAUGAACGCUGGCGGCGUGCUUAACACAUGCAAGUCGAACGAAGCGGUUGAGAGGAAGUUUUCGGAUGGAAUUUCAAUUGACUGAGUGGCGGACGGGUGAGUAACGCGUGGGUAACCUGCCUCAUACAGGGGGAUAACAGUUAGAAAUGACUGCUAAUACCGCAUAAGCGCACGAGAUCGCAUGAUAAAGUGUGAAAAACUCCGGUGGUAUGAGAUGGACCCGCGUCUGAUUAGCUGGUUGGUGGGGUAACGGCCCACCAAGGCGACGAUCAGUAGCCGACCUGAGAGGGUGACCGGCCACAUUGGGACUGAGACACGGCCCAA
rnacentral:rRNA from 1 species